rnacentral:lncRNA from 1 species
GUUCUGUAGGGUUUUAUUCAAUUGUAAUUGUUAACACAGCGAAAUCCACAACCGUUUACACAUAGGUUACGAUACAUGUGGAUUUACGUGGGAGGCAUAUUUAAACAGCCAUUUGUGUACAUCUUGGAGUCUGCGCUAAGUAUAGAUAUAUCGAGAAUUUUAUCACGGUGUUGUUUACAAAGCGAAAAGAAGCACGUCAUAUUAGAAUGUUUAAUAUCCGAUCCCUUAUUUCAUUGAUUCUGAAUUAACAUUUCGUCAUUUCUAUGAUGUGAGGUUUAACUAUCGGUUCAUGUAAGGGUGACGGUUGUUUCAUAAUUGUUUCUCGUUUCUCGUUUCUCGGGUUUUUUUAAUGAUAAGACUGUAACAUUGCUUUCCAUGUUUGGAAUAUUUUAUACUAGUAUUUUAGGGGUUUCUUUAAAACUUGAUGUUUGGUGUGAGCAAAUGCUCCGUGUUGAAGACCUAUAAUGAUUUCCCUUUACAAAUUGUGACUUAAGGAUGUACUUAGGUGAGGUUUUGGAAAUUAU